UAGGGAAUAUUAGUAAUGGGCGAAAGCCAGAACUAGCAACGCCGCGUGUGCGAAGAAGGCCUUCGGGUUGUAAAGCACUUUUUGAGAGGAUGAGGAAGGACGGUACUCUCAGAAUAAGUCUCGGCUAACUACGUGCCAGCAGCCGCGGUAACACGUAGGAGGCGAACGUUAUCCGGAUUUACUGGGCGUAAAGCGCGUGUAGGUGGUUUGGUAAGUAGGGCGUGAAAGCUCCUGGCUCAACUGGGAGAGGCCGUUCUAAACUGCCGAAGUAGAGGAUGGUAGAGGGAGGUGGAAUUCCGGGUGUAUCGGUGGAAUGCGCAGAUAUCCGGAGGAACACCAGUGGCGAAAGCGGCCUCCUGGACCACUCCUGACACUCAGACGCGAAAGCUAGGGUAGCAAACGG
rnacentral:rRNA from 1 species